CCUACGGGUGGCAGCAGUGGGGAAUAUUGGGCAAUGGGCGCAAGCCUGACCCAGCAACGCCGCGUGAAGGAAGAAGGCUUUCGGGUUGUAAACUUCUUUUAGGAGGGAAGAGCAGAAGACGGUACCUCUUGAAUAAGCCACGGCUAACUACGUGCCAGCAGCCGCGGUAAUACGGAGGUGGCAAGCGUUGUCCGGAUUUACUGGGUGUAAAGGGCGUGUAGCCGGGCUGACAAGUCAGAUGUGAAAGUCAGGGGCUCAACCCCGGAACUGCCUUUGAAACUGUUGGUCUUGAGUAUCGAAGAGGCAGGCGGAAUUCCUAGUGUAGCGGUGAAAUGCGGAGAUAUUAGGAGGAACACCAGUGGCGAAGGCGGCCUGCUGGACGACAACUGACGGUGAGGCGCGAAAGCGUGGGGAGCAAACAGGAUUAGAUACCCCUGUAGUC
rnacentral:rRNA from 1 species